rnacentral:rRNA from 1 species
UCCAGAGAUGGAUUGGUGCCUUCCAGGGAACAUUGAGACAGGUGCUGCAUGGCUGUCGUCAGCUCGUGGUAUCGUGAGAUGUUGGGUUAAGUCCCGUAACGAGCGCAAACCCUUGUCCUUAGUUACCAGCACGUUAUGGUGGGCACUCUAAGGAGACUGCCGGUGACAAACCGGAGGAAGGUGGGGAUGACGUCAAGUCAUCAUGGCCCUUACGGCCUGGGCUACACACGUGCUACAAUGGUCGGUACAAAGGGUUGCCAAGCCGCGAGGUGGAGCUAAUCCCAUAAAACCGAUCGUAGUCCGGAUCGAAGUCUGCAACUCGACUGCGUGAAGUCGGAAUCGCUAGUAAUCGCGAAUCAGAAUGUCGCGGUCAAUACGUUCCCGGGCCUUGUACACACCGCCCGU